CUACGGGAGGCAGCAGUCGAGGAUCUUCGGCAAUGGGCGCAAGCCUGACCGAGCGACGCCGCGUGUGCGAUGAAGGCCUUCGGGUUGUAAAGCACUGUCGGGGAGGGGAAAAGCUGAUCCCCUCCCGGAGGAAGCACGGGCUAAGUUCGUGCCAGCAGCCGCGGUAAGACGAACCGUGCGAACGUUGUUCGGAAUCACUGGGCUUAAAGGGCGCGUAGGCGGGCGGGCAAGUCGGAGGUGAAAGCCCCCAGCUCAACUGGGGAAGUGCCCUCGAUACUGCCGGCCUUGAGGGGGGUAGGGGCGUGCGGAACUUCCGGUGGAGCGGUGAAAUGCGUAGAUAUCGGAAGGAACACCGGUGGCGAAGGCGGCACGCUGGGCCCACCCUGACGCUGAGGCGCGAAAGCCAGGGGAGCGAACGGGAUUAGAAACCCCGGUAGUCC
rnacentral:rRNA from 1 species